GAUGAACGCUGGCGGCGUGCCUAAUACAUGCAAGUCGAGCGAACAGACGAGGAGCUUGCUCCUCUGACGUUAGCGGCGGACGGGUGAGUAACACGUGGAUAACCUACCUAUAAGACUGGGAUAACUUCGGGAAACCGGAGCUAAUACCGGAUAAUAUAUUGAACCGCAUGGUUCAAUAGUGAAAGACGGUUUUGCUGUCACUUAUAGCUUGAUCCGCGCCGCAUUAGCUAGUUGGUAAGGUAACGGCUUACCAAGGCAACGAUGCGUAGCCGACCUGAGCGGGUGAUCGGCCACACUGGAACUGAGACACGGUCCAGACUCCUACGGGAGGCAGCAGUAGGGAAUCUUCCGCAAUGGGCGAAAGCCUGACGGAGCAACGCCGCGUGAGUGAUGAAGGUCUUCGGAUCGUAAAACUCUGUUAUUAGGGAAGAACAAAUGUGUAAGUAACUGUGCACAUCUUGACGGUACCUAAUCAGAAAGCCACGGCUAACUACGUG
rnacentral:rRNA from 1 species